rnacentral:rRNA from 1 species
UACGUAGGGUGCAAGCGUUGUCCGGAAUUAUUGGGCGUAAAGAGCUCGUAGGCGGUUUGUCGCGUCUGCUGUGAAAACGCGAGGCUCAACCUCGCGCCUGCAGUGGGUACGGGCAGACUAGAGUGCGGUAGGGGAGAUUGGAAUUCCUGGUGUAGCGGUGGAAUGCGCAUAUAUCAGGAGGAACACCGAUGGCGAAGGCAGAUCUCUGGGCCGUAACUGACGCUGAGGAGCGAAAGCAUGGGGAGCGAACAGG